rnacentral:rRNA from 1 species
UACGUAGGGUGCAAGCGUUGUCCGGAAUUAUUGGGCGUAAAGAGCUCGUAGGCGGUCUGUCGCGUCGGCUGUGAAAUCCCGGAGCUCAACUCCGGGUCUGCAGUCGAUACGGGCAAACUGGAGUACUGCAGGGGAGACUGGAAUUCCUGGUGUAGCGGUGAAAUGCGCAGAUAUCAGGAGGAACACCGGUGGCGAAGGCGGGUCUCUGGGCCGGCCCUGACACUGAGACGCGAAGGCGCUGGGGAGGCGAACGGGG